rnacentral:ncRNA from 1 species
AUUUAAGAGCGUACGAGGAAUAGUAGUUAAUUAGGGCGAUUUUUCAGAAACCGAAUGGGGAUGUGAAUUCGGAAAUGGCAGUUAACGAACUCACCUUCGUGACCGCCUCAUUCUGAAAUUAGUAGGAAUGAACGUGACCGUCGCGUUAAGACGAAGAAGCGCUACGGCAACGUAGAAAUCAGGGUGGUACCGCGGAGAAAUUCGUCCCGUAA